rnacentral:rRNA from 1 species
UACGGGGGGGGCAAGCGUUGUUCGGAAUUACUGGGCGUAAAGGGCUCGUAGGUGGCCAACUAAGUCAGACGUGAAAUCCCUCGGCUUAACCGGGGAACUGCGUCUGAUACUGGAUGGCUUGAGAUUGGGAGAGGGAUGCGGAAUUCCAGGUGUAGCGGUGAAAUGCGUAGAUAUCGGAAGGAACACCAGUGGCGAAAGCGGCUUCCUGGUCCAGCACCGACGUUCAGGCACGAAAGCGUGGGGAGCAAACAGG